AUGGGGAAGGAACGUUGUUGUUUGCGAGGUCUCGAUCAUUUACAUGGACCCACUUCUCAUUCCAUUUGUGGGAAUUUGAUGAUCUAUAAACCGUCCCCAACGAGCGAAAGGUUCAUGUUUGAACAUGAUGAAUCACUUCGUGCUGACUUGUUGCCCAUAAACUUUCCUGCCUCAUAUGAGAAUGGAAAACUGGAAGAUUUUCUGCAUCGGUGGAUGAAGAAUCACGAACAUAAGAAUUUCUGGUUUAGCAUGUUCCCAGAAAGAAGAUACUUUUUUCCAUUUGAGAAACGAGGAGCACGACUGAAGUGGCUAUACAUACAAAUCCAUUUACGGAUCUAUAUGCUCCGAUUGGAACUGGAAGUUCUAGAACUGGCGGGGUGGUAU
rnacentral:rRNA from 1 species